rnacentral:rRNA from 1 species
GAUGAACGCUGGCGGCGUGCCUAACACAUGCAAGUCGAACGGAGUCCAGCCUUUAAGACCUUCGGGUCAAAGAGGGGAAGACUGAGUGGCGGACGGGUGAGUAACACGUGGGCAACCUGGCUCAUAGAGGGGGAUAACAGAGAGAAAUUUCUGCUAAUACCGCAUAAGCACACACUGCCGCAUGGCAGAGGGUGAAAAGAGAAUAGCUAUGAGAUGGACCCGCGUCUGAUUAGCCAGUUGGCAGGGUAAGAGCCUACCAAAGCGACGAUCAGUAGCCGAUCUGAGAGGAUGAACGGCCACAUUGGGACUGAGACACGGCCCAAACUCCUACGGGAGGCAGCAGUGGGGGAUAUUGCACAAUGGGGGGAACCCUGAUGCAGCGACGCCGCGUGAGUGAAGAAGUAUUUCGGUAUGUAAAGCUCUAUCAGCAGGGAAGAUAAUGACAGUACCUGAAUAAGAAGCCCCGGCUAACUACGUG